rnacentral:misc_RNA from 1 species
GAUGAAGAACGUAGCGAAAUGCGAUAAGUAGUGUGAAUUGCAGAAUUCAGUGAAUCAUCGAAUCUUUGAACGCACAUUGCGCCCGUCAGUAUUCUGACGGGCAUGCCUGUCCGAGCGUCAUUUCAACCCUCAAGCACUGCUUGGCGUUGGCGGAUUGCGUGCCCUCGCGGCGCUGCAACCGCCCAAAUACAGUGGCGGUCCCGCUGCGGCUCCCUUUGCGUAGUAACUCACCUCGCACUGGACCGGGCGGCGGCCUGCCGUAAAACCCCAACUCACGAAAUGUUGACCUCGGAUCAGGUAGGAAUACCCGCUGAACUUAAGCAUAUCAAUAAGCGGAGGA